rnacentral:rRNA from 1 species
GAGUCGACCCCUAAGGCGAGGCCGAAAGGCGUAGUCGAUGGGAAACAGGUUAAUAUUCCUGUACUUGGUGUUACUGCGAAGGGGGGACGGAGAAGGCUAUGUUGGCCGGGCGACGGUUGUCCCGGUUUAAGCGUGUAGGCUGGUUUUCCAGGCAAAUCCGGAAAAUCAAGGCUGAGGCGUGAUGACGAGGCACUACGGUGCUGAAGCAACAAAUGCCCUGCUUCCAGGAAAAGCCUCUAAGCAUCAGGUAACAUCAAAUCGUACCCCAAACCGACACAGGUGGUCAGGUAGAGAAUACCAAGGCGCUUGAGAGAACUCGGGUGAAGGAACUAGGCAAAAUGGUGCCGUAACUUCGGGAGAAGGCACGCUGAUAUGUAGGUGAAGUCCCUCGCGGAUGGAGCUGAAAUCAGUCGAAGAUACCAGCUGGCUGCAACUGUUUAUUAAAAACACAGCACUGUGCAAACACGAAAGUGGACGUAUACGGUGUGACGCCUGCCCGGUGCCGGAAGGUUAAUUGAUGGGGUUAGCCGCAAGGCGAAGCUCUUGAUCGAAGCCCCGGUAAACGGCGGCCGUAACUAUAACGGUCCUAAGGUAGCGAAAUUCCUUGUCGGGUAAGUUCCGACCUGCACGAAUGGCGUAAUGAUGGCCAGGCUGUCUCCACCCGAGACUCAGUGAAAUUGAACUCGCUGUGAAGAUGCAGUGUACCCGCGGCAAGACGGAAAGACCCCGUGAACCUUUACUAUAGCUUGACACUGAACAUUGAGCCUUGAUGUGUAGGAUAGGUGGGAGGCUUAGAAGUGUGGACGCCAGUCUGCAUGGAGCCGACCUUGAAAUACCACCCUUUAAUGUUUGAUGUUCUAACGUUGACCCGUAAUCCGGGUUGCGGACAGUGUCUGGUGGGUAGUUUGACUGGGGCGGUCUCCUCCUAAAGAGUAACGGAGGAGCACGAAGGUUGGCUAAUCCUGGUCGGACAUCAGGAGGUUAGUGCAAUGGCAUAAGCCAGCUUGACUGCGAGCGUGACGGCGCGAGCAGGUGCGAAAGCAGGUCAUAGUGAUCCGGUGGUUCUGAAUGGAAGGGCCAUCGCUCAACGGAUAAAAGGUACUCCGGGGAUAACAGGCUGAUACCGCCCAAGAGUUCAUAUCGACGGCGGUGUUUGGCACCUCGAUGUCGGCUCAUCACAUCCUGGGGCUGAAGUAGGUCCCAAGGGUAUGGCUGUUCGCCAUUUAAAGUGGUACGCGAGCUGGGUUUAGAACGUCGUGAGACAGUUCGGUCCCUAUCUGCCGUGGGCGCUGGAGAACUGAGGGGGGCUGCUCCUAGUACGAGAGGACCGGAGUGGACGCAUCACUGGUGUUCGGGUUGUCAUGCCAAUGGCACUGCCCGGUAGCUAAAUGCGGAAGAGAUAAGUGCUGAAAGCAUCUAAGCACGAAACUUGCCCCGAGAUGAGUUCU